rnacentral:rRNA from 1 species
GCAAUGUGUGGCAUACGGCUCAGUAACACGUAGUCAACAUGCCCAGGGGACGUGGAUAACCUCGGGAAACUGAGGAUAAACCGCGAUAGGUCACUACUUCUGGAAUGGGUAAUGACCCAAACCUAUAUGGCCCCUGGAUUGGACUGCGGCCGAUCAGGCUGUUGGUGAGGUAAUGGCCCACCAAACCUGUAACCGGUACGGGCUCUGAGAGGAGGAGCCCGGAGAUGGGCACUGAGACAAGGGCCCAGGCCCUAUGGGGCGCAGCAGGCGCGAAACCUCUGCAAUAGGCGAAAGCUUGACAGGGUUACUCUGAGUGAUUUCCGUUAAGGAGAUCUUUUGGCACCUCUAAAAAUGGUGCAGAAUAAGGGGUGGGCAAGUCUGGUGUCAGCCGCCGCGGUAAUACCAGCACCCCGAGUGGUCGGGACGUUUAUUGGGCCUAAAGCAUCCGUAGCCGGUUCUACAAGUCUUCCGUUAAAUCCACCUGCUCAACAGAUGGGCUGCGGAAGAUACUAUGGAGCUAGGAGGCGGGAGAGGCAAGCGGUACUCGAUGGGUAGGGGUAAAAUCCGUUGAUCCAUUGAAGACCACCAGUGGCGAAGGCGGCUUGCCAGAACGCGCUCGACGGUGAGGGAUGAAAGCUGGGGGAGCAAACCGGAUUAGAUACCCGGGUAGUCCCAGCUGUAAAC